UUUGGCAACGGAUAUUUCGGGUCUCGGAUCGUUGAGGACCGUAGCGAAAUGCGAUACUUGGUGUGAAUUGCAGAAUCCCGUGAACCAUCGAGUCUUUGAACGCAAGUUGCGCCCGACGCCAUUCGGCUGAGGGCACGUCUGCCUGGGCGUCACGC
rnacentral:rRNA from 1 species